CCUACGGGUGGCAGCAGUCGAGAAUUAUUCACAAUGGGGGAAACCCUGAUGGUGCGACGCCGCGUGGGGGAAUGAAGGUCUUCGGAUUGUAAACCCCUGUCAUGUGGGAGAAAAGGAAAAAGAUAGUAACACAAGAGGAAGAGACGGCUAACUGAGUGCCAGCAGCCGCGGUAAGACAGAGGUCUCAAGCGAUGUUCGGAAUCACUGGGCGUAAAGGGGGCGUAGGCGGUUUCGUAAGUCGUGUGUGAAAGGCGCGGGCUUAACCCGCGGACGGCACAUGAUACUGCGAGACUAGAGUAAUGCAGGGGGAACCGGAAUUCUCGGUGUAGCAGUGAAAUGCGUAGAUAUCGAGAGGAACACUCGUGGCGAAGGCGGGUUCCUGGACAUUAACUGACGCUGAGGCACGAAGGCCAGGGGAGCGAAAGGGAUUAGAUACCCCGGUAGUC
rnacentral:rRNA from 1 species